rnacentral:lncRNA from 1 species
GCAACUGCAAAGGUAUGCUGAAAGCAAGGAUGCAUUCCUGGGCUGUGUGUCAAAAACCAAACUGAGCUGUUGCUGUGCGAGAUAAUGCCUUCCCAUCUCUGCCUCAAAACAGUUAGUAUUGUCUAACAAACAGCCAGUACAUGGAUCUGGGUGCUUCUUUUUUGCCUAAAGGCAAUGACUGAAUGGAACACCUACUGUAUCAGCACUGCCCCAGUCAGCCCUCCUUCCUGCUCAUGCUAAGCUAAGUGAAACAAGCUUUGAAUUCACCAAGUCAAGCGUGUUUCCUGCAGCCAGAGGUCAGAGCUGAGCAGACCUGCUGAUCCCUAGAGAGUAUUUUGGCACCGGGGGGAGGGAAGGAAGGAGUUUCUUACUGCUGUGCUCACUGUGCGCUGCUCACAGCAUCUCUGGAAGUUUCUAUACAACACGAGCAGUGCUUAUGCUCCUCCUGUAGGAACUGAAUGGGAAAUAAAGCAUAGAGUGACAGCUGGAGGAGCAAAGUCUCCCGUAAAACACAUCAGAGACAGUGCUGGGGAGGAGUUAACACCCAAAGCAGCUCCUGCUUCAUUUAAGUGGCUUGUCGUCAUCUUCCUCUGGUGCAAAGAGGGGAAUGUGAUGGAGAUGGCUGAGCUGGGGGUUUUAUAUGUAGUUUGGUGAGAGAGCAGGGCAGGGAAAUAGAAGGCAGGGAAAUAGAAGGCAGGGAAAUAGAAGGCAGCUUCUUGCUGGGUGAGAGAAUGAAAUGCAAGAAACAAAAGCUGGAUUGCCACCAAACUGCAAUCUUAGCACGCUCGAGUGCUGUACCCAACUGUACUCCACUCGAUUCUCAGAAAAAAAUAGCAGCUGCUUAUAAAAGGAAACGUAGCAGCUGCGUAGUGCACAAUGCAGCAGAAGGAGACUGAGAUUCGUGUGUUGUUUUCCUAUAGCAGGAGAGCUGUCAGCCCUUUCUCCACGAGGUGCGCGGCGGUGGAGGUGUUGUUUUGGAUCCCACCACGUCUUCCCCUCUCACCGACCCAGUUUGGAACACCUCUUUCAGUGUAAGGAUCAGAUCCAGG